UCUAAGGGGACCGCCCCGGUCAACGGGGAGGAAGGUGGGGAUGACGUCAAGUCCUCAUGGCCUUUAUGCCUAGGGCUACACACGUGCUACAAUGGGCGGUACAAAGGGUCGCGAUCCCGGCGAGGGGGAGCCAAUCCCAAAAAGCCGUCCCAAGUUCGGAUUGGAGUCUGCAACUCGACUCCAUGAAGCUGGAAUCGCUAGUAAUCGCGGAUCAGAAUGCCGCGGUGAAUGCGUUCCCGGCCUU
rnacentral:rRNA from 1 species